GACGAACGCUGGCGGCGUGCUUAACACAUGCAAGUCGAACAGGCCUUGUCCCCUUUUUUUUGGGGGUGGGGUUAGUGGCGAACGGGUGAGUAACACGUGAGUAACCUGCCCCUCACUUCUGGAUAACCGCUUGAAAGGGUGGCUAAUACGGGGUGUUCUGGCCUGCUCGCAUGGGUGGGUUUGGAAAGAUUCGACCGGUUUUGGUUGUUUUGGUGGGGGAUGGGCUCGCGGCCUAUCAGCUUGUUGGUGGGGUGAUGGCCUGCCAAGGCUUUGACGGGUAGCCGGCCUGAGAGGGUGGGCGGUCACACUGGGACUGAGACACGGCCCAGACUCCUACGGGAGGCAGCAGUGGGGAAUAUUGCACAAUGGGCGCAAGCCUGAUGCAGCGACGCCGCGUGAGGGAUGGAGGCCUUCGGGUUGUGAACCUCUUUCGCCAGUGAAGAAGGUCCUGCUCUUUGUGGUGGGGUUGACGGUAGCUGGGUUAAUGAAGCGCCGGCUAACUACGUG
rnacentral:rRNA from 1 species